rfam:Rattus norvegicus chromosome 3, whole genome shotgun sequence.
UCUUAUUCUGAGCAUUCCAGUAACUUGUUUUGUGUAUGUACCUAGCUGUACUAUAAGUAGUUGGUUUGUAUGAGAUGGUUAAAAA